UACGGGGGGGGCAAGCGUUGUUCGGAAUUACUGGGCGUAAAGGGCUCGUAGGUGGCCAACUAAGUCAGACGUGAAAUCCCUCGGCUUAACCGGGGAACUGCGUCUGAUACUGGAUGGCUUGAGAUUGGGAGAGGGAUGCGGAAUUCCAGGUGUAGCGGUGAAAUGCGUAGAUAUCUGGAGGAACACCGGUGGCGAAGGCGGCAUCCUGGACCAACACUGACACUGAGGAGCGAAAGCCAGGGGAGCAAACGGGG
rnacentral:rRNA from 1 species